GCCUGGAUAGCUCACUUGGUUAGACCAUGGUGCCGAUAAUGCCAAGGUUGCAGGUUCGAUCCCUGUAUGGGCCAGCUGCA